rnacentral:lncRNA from 10 species
CUGUGAUGAUGUUGUGAGUGAGAGAAUAGAAAAAAAGGCUGAGGAAACAAACUGGAAAUCAAAGGAGGUGCAUAAUAUUGUAGAUUAUGAAAGAAAGAUAACUACAGGACUCCAAUCGGAGAAACCAUGCUCAAAAAUAGGCGUUGGUCUCACAUCAAAAGAUUGGGAUUCUGAUGCCUGUGAAAAGACCUGCUGACCUGCUGGCUCACUCCAGCAAAAAGCACAAGAAGCCAGCUCUGCGGAAAGUAGGGGAAAGGGCAUCUAUUGCUCUGUGGGGCAAGGGUUGUUACCAGCUGACCUUUGAGAGCCCAUGAGUACAGCCAACUACACACAUAUUGGUCUUGGGGCUUGUUUCAUUACUUGGAAAAAUUCCCUUUAAAGGUUAAUGUCAAGAAAUAAACUCUGUUACAUUGAGUCCCAUGACUCAAGUGGACUUUGAAAAAACAUCUCUGGAAUGCUCUUUUCUCUGAGUAUCAGCCUCCCAUUUAAACUCCGUCUGAACUGAGGGCUUCCAAAAAGGUAUAUCGCUGAUCUGCAGGCCAGUAACAUACUCUGUUCAGUGUUAUGCAAGGAGAGUAUGUUUUUUGUCAACCCAGAACUCAAAGGCAGGGCUAACACCCAUGUAUCAUAAAGACUGCCUCAUACACUAACAUUCAACUAUUCAACUGAGAGGGGGCUCAAGGGGCUUUCUGAGUACCUAUAAUGUUCUAUUUCUUGAUCUGGGUGAUGGCUAUACAGGGUUGCUUGUGUGUGUAAAUUAAACUGUAAGCUUAUAAUUUGAGCCUUCUUCUGUAUGUAUGUCACCUCUAUUAAAAGCUGUAUUUAUAAAAACUCCAUUACAGAUCUACUGUGGUUCUUUAAUACUCUCCUAUGACCUGUUCCAUGCCUCAACUCCUCUUUCCUGUCUUUCUAAUAUACCUCAGUGUGAAGAGUUCUACUUUAUACACCUUGUAUUUCAGAAAAGGUUCAAUUUUUUCCAAACGAAUCUUGCAAUGCUUCAAAACAUGUUAAUACAACUUUGUAUGUCACCAGCUCCACCCCUUUUUGUGCCUGGGACUCUGGCUGGCCUUGGCUGUAGCAAGCUCUCUGUGCUUUGAUAGCCCUGUACAAUGCUGCUUGAACUCCAUGCCACAAGGCAACACUGUAAAGAAGCUGAAAGCAGAGAGAAUAUCGAAUAUUGCAAGUCGAGCAUUUUACCUGCAGUUAUGUGCAAGGAUGCUCAGACCUUUUCCUCACAUUUCAGUGGACACAUGGCAAUAAUGAUGGUUAGAGAGACUAUGACAUGGGUUGUAAUUGUAUCCUGUUUCCACAGGUGAAUGGUUUAUCAUUCAUUAUCAUCCAGUGCCUUCUUAAAAAUAAAGCAUAUAUUCCUCCCCCUCCCCCAACACACACCCCUCCUGUUCUGUAAAGUGUGACUAGAGUAAAGGGAAGCUUUCCUAAGGAUAUG